rnacentral:rRNA from 1 species
GACGAACGCUGGCGGCGUGCUUAACACAUGCAAGUCGAACGGAAAGGCCCUGCUUUUGUGGGGUGCUCGAGUGGAGAACGGGUGAGUAACACGUGAGUAACCUGCCCUUGACUUUGGGAUAACUUCAGGAAACUGGGGCUAAUACCGGAUAGGAGCUCCCGCUGCAUGGUGGGGGUUGGAAAGUUUCGGCGGUUGGGGAUUGACUCGCGGCUUAUCAGCUUGUUGGUGGGGUAGUGGCUUACCAAGGCCUUGACGGGUAGCCGGCCUGAGAGGGUGACCGGCCACGUUGGGACUGGGAUACGGCCCGGCCCCCUACGGUAGGCAGCAGUGGGGUAUAUUGCACUAUGGGCGGAAGCCUGAUGCAGCAACGCCGCGUGCGGGAUGACGGCCUUCGGGUUGUAAACCGCUUUCGCCUGUGACGAAGCGUGAGUGACGGUACUGGGUAAAGAAGCACCGGCUAACUACGUG